UACGUAGGGUCCAAGCGUUAUCCGGAAUCACUGGGCGUAAGCGUGCGUAGGUGGCGCGUUAAGUGAGAUGUUAAAUCGUGUGGCUCAACCAUAUCGAUGCAUCUCAUACUGGCGUGCUAGAGGACGGCAGAGGCAAGUGGAAUUAGCAGUGUAGCAGUGAAAUGCGUAGAUAUUGCUAGGAACACCAAUGGCGAAGGCAGCUUGCUGGGCCACUCCUGACACUGAGGUACGAAAGCGUGGGGAGCGAACAGG
rnacentral:rRNA from 1 species